rnacentral:misc_RNA from 1 species
GAUGAAGAACGUAGCGAAAUGCGAUAAGUAAUGUGAAUUGCAGAAUUCAGUGAAUCAUCGAAUCUUUGAACGCACAUUGCGCCCGCCAGUAUUCUGGCGGGCAUGCCUGUCCGAGCGUCAUUUCAACCCUCGAACCCCUCCGGGGGGUCGGCGUUGGGGAUCGGCCCUCCCUUAGCGGGUGGCCGUCUCCGAAAUACAGUGGCGGUCUCGCCGCAGCCUCUCCUGCGCAGUAGUUUGCACACUCGCAUCGGGAGCGCGGCGCGUCCACAGCCGUUAAACACCCAACUUCUGAAAUGUUGACCUCGGAUCAGGUAGGAAUACCCGCUGAACUUACGCAUAUCAAUAAGCGGAGGA